rnacentral:rRNA from 1 species
UACGAGGGGGCAAGCGUUGUUCGGAAUUAUUGGGCGUAAAGGGUGCGUAGGCGGUUUUGUAAGUCUUGUGUGAAAUCUUCAGGCUCAACUUGAAGACUGCACGAGAAACUGCAGGGCUUGAGUGUGGGAGAGGUGAGUGGAAUUCCUGGUGUAGCGGUGAAAUGCGUAGAUAUCAGGAGGAACACCUGUGGCGAAAGCGGCUCACUGGACCACAACUGACGCUGAUGCACGAAAGCUAGGGAGCAAACAGG